UCUGUUAUAUUUUCUCGCUCCCAAUCAUCCUUUCAAAAACGCCUUUUUACAAGUGCGGAGUAAACCGGAGAAGAUGAGCCGACGAGAGAGAAAACCCGAGACAACAACUAUGGCGGAGGACACGGAAAUCGAAGUAGCUACCGGCUCCAUUGACGGCGCUCUCAUCUUCCAUAUCGUUUACGACGUUUUAGCCUUUCUGCUCUAUAUGCACCAGCAAAUCCCCUCCGUCUUGCAGGAUAUGACUCUUCAGUUUGAUGCACUCCGUGCUGAAUUCAAGGAGUCGGAGAUACUUCUUACACAAGGUGGGCUCAAUGCUUCAUCUAGAAGGCAAGCCAUUGGGAGGAAAAGAGAUGCCAAGUUACAGAUUAGAAGAAAUGAGAAAUUGAUGAGUAAAGUAUCUAGUCUUCAGACUGCUCUCUGUCUCUUGAUCCGCCAGUUUCCCAGUGUUGAAGAUAUGGUCUUUAUUUUUGGAGCAAGCCCACGACGACCACAGCAUGUUUACCAAAUUAUAUUUCCUCAUGGAAGGAUAGCUACCCCGGCUUCUGAAGAUAUGGCCAAAAACCGAACAGCAGUGGUGCUUUCGAGAAAGGUCAUAAGGGCACUUAUCUCUAAAGGUGUGGGAUCUGCCUCUUAUACAGGUCCUACUAAGUUGUUUUUCCUGGUGAAGGCUCCAACUUCCUUGAAUAUGCCUAUGCAUUUUCUUCCUAAGCGCGACUUUCAGUUCUCAAAGAAGAUGGUGCCAUUCAGGCUUCAGCUUAGAUCCAAGACCUCUCAUCAAGAAUCAAUAGCUUCUUCCUUUGUCCCAGACACAAUCACUGGUUUCAAUGAGAACAAUCAUAUAUGCAGUGAUUUAACUUGGUUUCAGUGUCGGCAUGUGAUCAAGGGCAUUGCUUUAGGAAACCCUUUGCCUGAAGAAUGAAGGUCGACGAGAUCUUCAAAACGGAAAAGCUAGAGGGGAAAGGGAAGCUGAAGAUAGGGGACAAGGGAUUCGGAGGAGGAGUAAUGAAGAAAGUAGUGCAUGUGUUUGAAAAUGUGGCAUUCCUUCUUUAACAAGGAGGCCAUUGUUUAGGGAGGAUAACACUGUAGUAACUUCUAGGCACAUGUCUCUCAGUGUGAUCAUGACAUCCAGUAACAACCCCUCCUUAUAUGGGCACUGCAACUCCACCAAUGCAUCACUCUCUAUUAUCGAC